GACGAACGCUGGCGGCGUGCUUAACACAUGCAAGUCGAACGAAAAUACCAAGCUUGCUUGGUUGAUUAGUGGCGAACGGGUGAGUAACACGUGAGUAACCUGCCCCUUACUUUCUGGAUAACUGCUCGAAAGGGUAGCUAAUACGGGAUAUUCUGGCCUUCCUGCAUGGGUUGGUUUGGAAAGGUUUUUUCUGGUGAGGGAUGGGCUCGCGGCCUAUCAGCUUGUUGGUGGGGUGAUGGCCUACCAAGGCUUUGACGGGUAGCCGGCCUGAGAGGGUGGACGGUCACACUGGGACUGAGAUACGGCCCAGACUCCUACGGGAGGCAGCAGUGGGGAAUAUUGCACAAUGGGCGCAAGCCUGAUGCAGCGACGCCGCGUGAGGGAUGAAGGCCUUCGGGUUGUAAACCUCUUUCGUCAGGGAACAAGGCACUGCUUUUGGUGGUGUUGGGGGUACCUGGAUAAGAAGCGCCGGCUAACUACGUGCCAGCAGCCGCGGUAAUACGUAGGGCGCAAGCGUUGUCCGGAAUUAUUGGGCGUAAAGAGCUCGUAGGCGGCUGGUCGCGUCUGUCGUGAAAACUUCCGGCUCAACCGGGGGCUUGCGGUGGGUACGGGCCGGCUAGAGUGCGGUAGGGGUAACUGGAACUCCUGGUGUAGCGGUGGAAUGCGCAGAUAUCAGGAAGAACACCGAUGGCGAAGGCAGGUUACUGGGCCGUUACUGACGCUGAGGAGCGAAAGCGUGGGGAGCGAACAGG
rnacentral:rRNA from 1 species